UGGGGAAUUUUGGACAAUGGGCGAAAGCCUGAUCCAGCAAUGCCGCGUGUGUGAAGAAGGCCUUCGGGUUGUAAAGCACUUUUGUCCGGAAAGAAAGUCCUUGGCUCUAAUACAGUCGGGGGAUGACGGUACCGGAAGAAUAAGCACCGGCUAACUACGUGCCAGCAGCCGCGGUAAUACGUAGGGUGCAAGCGUUAAUCGGAAUUACUGGGCGUAAAGCGUGCGCAGGCGGUUUGCUAAGACCGAUGUGAAAUCCCCGGGCUCAACCUGGGAACUGCAUUGGUGACUGGCAGGCUAGAGUAUGGCAGAGGGGGGUAGAAUUCCACGUGUAGCAGUGAAAUGCGUAGAGAUGUGGAGGAAUACCGAUGGCGAAGGCAGCCCCCUGGCCAAGUACUGACGCUCAUGCACGAAAGCGUGGGGAGCAAACAGGAUUAGAUACCCUGGUAGUCCACGCCCUAAACGAUGUCAACUAGUUGUUGGGGAUUCAUUUCCUUAGUAACGUAGCUAACGCGUGAAGUUGACCGCCUGGGGAGUACGGUCG
rnacentral:rRNA from 1 species